GGUUGUGGCUCAGUGGUAAAGUGCCUGCCUAGCAUGCAUGAGGCACUGGGUUUGAUCCCUGGCACCA
rnacentral:tRNA from 1 species